rnacentral:lncRNA from 1 species
AACAAAAGAUAUGAAAAAGAGUGAAUAAUUUCUUAAUAUACGGACGGUUAUUUCCAUACAAAGCGAGUGGCUUUGGUUGCUAUUAAUUAAGCUCGUUUUCUCAGAUUUCUAAUACUGUUGUUGGAAAUUUAGGUCUUAAUUAAAAACAGAUUUCAUAAUACAUGUUCAACAAUUAUGAAUCAAUAGCGGAAGCAAACAAAAUAUUGAACAUGAUUAUGAUCGGAUCUACGACAUAUUUGAUUUAUCAAGGAUAUUAAGAAUUAGGGUAUUAGGAAUAUCUGGAUAAAGCUUUUGUAGCAGCCCUCUCAUCAACAACGAUAAUCAAAGAGAGAAGAUGAUCUGAGUAUUGCCGUGUACGGUAUAUUCGGGACCAUAGCCUCUUUUAUAUAUGGCCAUUAGGGUUUCCUAUUAUUCCGUUAAUGGAUCAUCCAGACAUCCACUCAUUGAAGUCCAUAUCAACUAAUUAAAUAUUUAAUUAAUUAUCCAAUUAAAAAUCUAAUAGCUAAUAUAAUUAUUAUUACGAUAUUUAUCCCUGAUAUUGGAAUAUAAUAAAAUAUUUCAACAACUGUUCCCUCCUCUCAUUUUCUCAGAUUUCUCUCUCUUUUUUAUAGAUCAUGGCAAGCUCCAGCCCUGCCGCAGUCAACGGAAG